UACAGAGGGGGCAAGCGUUGUUCGGAAUUACUUGGCGUAAAGGGCGCGUAGGCGGCCCGCUAAGUCGAACGUGAAAUCCCCGAGCUCAACUCGGGAACUGCGUCCGAUACUGGCGGGCUUGAAUCCGGGAGAGGGAUGCGGAAUUCCAGGUGUAGCGGUGUAAUGCGUAGAUAUCUGGAGGAACACCGGUGGCGAAGGCGGCAUCCUGGACCGGCAUUGACGCUGAGGCGCGAAAGCUAGGGGAGCAAACGGG
rnacentral:rRNA from 1 species